rnacentral:lncRNA from 1 species
GGAGUGUCCAAUUUGAUUGGAAAAAGUAUGAGAGUUCACAUUAGAGAUUGAGGAUUCGAAUGGACACAAAAGAUCUGCCAAAACAUGAGUGAAAAAAACUGAACCGAUGCAACAACACAUGUCUGUAGCGUGAGCUAGGGUUGGCUACAUCAAAUGCUAGGAGUGUCCAAUUUAAUUGGAAAAAGUAUGAGAAUUCAAAUUAGAGAUUCAGGAUUCGAAUGGACACAAAAGAUCUGCAAAACAG